UACGUAGGGUGCAAGCGUUGUCCGGAAUUAUUGGGCGUAAAGAGCUCGUAGGCGGUUUGUUGCGUCGGCUGUGAAAUCCCGAGGCUCAACCUCGGGUCUGCAGUCGAUACGAGCAAACUAGAGUCGUUGCAGGGGAGACUGGAAUUCCUGGUGUAGCGGUGAAAUGCGCAGAUAUCAGGAGGAACACCGGUGGCGAAGGCGGGUCUCUGGGCAACAACUGACGCUGGAGGAGCGAAAGCGUGGGGAGCGAACAGG
rnacentral:rRNA from 1 species